AUGUGUUCCCAUGCAGAUGUUCCUGGAGGUGUCUUUCAAAGGAAAAGUUAUUUGCUUGCGAAAACUGUGCUCACAUGUGCUGUUUCUCACAUGUCCACGCAAAGCUUAUUUGAGCAGUGGACAGAGGAGAUGCUGAGCUGCCAAACUGCUCCCGGGCUCUCUUCAUUGUCACCAUCUGGUUCUGCUUGACACCUGAGAGGUUUUCCAAGGUGUUCUCUAAGCCUCAUCAGGUGCAAUCAUUGAAGCUCCUCUCAGCACGGCAAUGAGUGAGUGACAACAGCUUCCCAGAGAUAAGAGCAGAGUGAGAGAAAGAACUCCGGAUAGCAGUGAUCCCUCACCAUGUGUGUGUGUGUGUGUGUGCGGGUCUGUGUGCCCUGUAUCUGUCUGUGCAGGUGAUGAGUGAGAAUCAAGCCCAAGGGGGAUCGCGUCACCGUAGAGAUAGCCACCAUUGCCUAGCAACCUCAGCCUUCAGGCCGACUGGAGGAAGUGCAAAGAGAAAGCUGAUCCAAUUCAAAAAUAUGCUCCUUUUCAAGCAGACAAAUGCCUAAAUUGGAAGAAAAAAAACCACAUUCUGCCUUUGUUUUGUGUCUUUGAAGGACAAAGCUGUGAAAAUCCUGUAUUUUUGUUAGUGUCAACAAAAUCCCAUUGAGAGACCAGAAGAAGCAACAUUGUCUGUGGAAAACAGACGUGAGUGAGCAAUACAACCAGAAUGAUAAGUUCUUUCAUUGUGUAGAAAUGCGUUUCUAUUGUAUAGACAAAAAAAACUAUUAGGAGUGUAAUUCAUUGUUGCUAUUUUUUUAUCACAAUAGUUUUAUCAUUGCUGUGAUUUACAGUCUAACGUGCAAAAUUUCUGUAAAACCUUCGAUAAAAAAGUCAUUACUGAGCUGCUCUGAAGGCUGCACAUUGUGAAUGUAUAAAUGUGUAUCCAAAGGCCUCUGCCUAAUGUGAGAUGUCCUCUAUAAAUCCAUUCUAUUACGAGGUGUCACUUCAUCCCCCCCUGGCCUACAGCGUCCAGAGUCUGAGCUCAUUUCAGUCGUGUUAGUAGACAAAUUAUUGUCUUCCUGCUAGACACCUCCCUGACAAGGCACGUCAAUACUGCAGGUGCAGUUGUGCCUGAAAUUGCUUUGUUUAAACUUGUCAAGUUGGAAUGGAGAUUUUCAAAAAGGAUUUGUCCCAAUUUGCACGGCUAAAGCUCGCUGCAAACCUACAGAGAGUUACACUCCACACUGCUGUUGUUUUUUAAAGAGAGACCAUUUUUAGAAUUUGAAUUUUGAUGCUUGCUUUUUAAAAAGGGGGCUGCCAGUACCGAAAACUUUGUUCCCUCUCAUUAUAAUACAUUUUUGGUUUUCUAAAUAUUGAUGUGUACUUCUUUUCCCCUCUCCUCCUUCUGUUACGCUUAUUAAACAGAGCAGCUCAGACAUGGAAUGUCAAAAUAUGUGAAAAAUAAUAAAUCACAUUAAAGCUUGAGGAGAUUCAGAAGGUUUUUUUCAUGUAAAAUGGACAGUUUCCUUCAUAAUUGAGUGCAUUCACAUAAUAUCUCUGCUUCUUCUUCUUCUUCAGUAAUGUCAUUGUAACACACUGAAAACAUGGAAAUUUCUAUUCAGCCAAUUGCAUGGUAGCAGCUUAUUGCAUUUAGGCAUAUAUUCAUGGUCAAGGCAACCUUCUGAACAGCACACUGAGCAUCAGAAUAGGAAACAAAGGUGAUUUCAGUGACUUUGAAUGUGGCAUGAUUGUUGGUGCUAGAUGAACUGCUGUUCUAGAGAGAGUUUUCUGCCCAACCAGUGUCGAGGUUGUUUUCAAGGAAUGGUCCACAAAGGGUAAAAUAUCCAGUGAGCGGCAUUUCUCUUGGCAACAACGCCUUGUUAAUGCCAGAAAUCAGAGGAGAAUGCUGAGACUGCUCAGAUACACAAAUGAUUGCUCAUUACAACAAAGGUAUGCAAAACCCACAUCUAACCUUACAGUACAUGGGCUAUGGCAGCAGAAGACCACACUGGGUGCCUCUCCUGUCAGCUAAGGACAGGAAAUUGAUACUACAAUUAGAACAGACAAUGGAUUCAGCAACAUUCAGAUGGUAGGGUCAGAAUUUUGCAUAAACAACAUGAAAGCAUGGAUCCAUCCUGCCUUGGAUCAACAGAUCAGGCUGCUGGUGAGGAAAUGAUGUGGGGAAUAUUUUAUUGGAACACUUUGGGCUCCUUAGUACCAACUGAGCAUUGUUUAAACACUACAGCCUAGCUGAUGGUAGGGUUCAUUGCACUCCACAGCCACCAGAUCUGAAUCCAAUAUAGCACCUCUGGGAUGCUGUCAAACAGGAAAUCCUCAUUAUGGAAGUUCAACUGUGUGACGCUGUGAUGUCAACAUGGACCAAAAUCUCUGAGGAAGGUUUUCAGCACCUUGUUGAAGGCACAUCUUCCAACCUGGCACUAGCAAAGUGUAACUAAGAAAGUGUAUAAUGAGCAUAUAGCACGCAUCUAUUGUUGUACCUUUUCUGUCGUGACACUUUGAUUUUCCUUCAAUAAAAGACACGCUGACAUCUCACCGAAAACACCGCCGAGGCUUCUGUUAAGCUAAAAGUUCCUUUACCAUUCACACAUCAACGGACAUUUCAUCUGCAUUCAUCCAUUUCUUUCUUUUCACUUGACGUUCCAGCAGCUUUCAGCUGCUUACUCUGACUGACACUUCAAGACCUUUUCUCACGUCUCAGGUAUUCUCCUAUGAGCAACAAGGAAAAUGUCUUCAGCUCAUCUAAGUCACACAACUUCCAGCCUCGCUCCAGCGCUUACGGUUCAGUCGACACUUUAACUAACAAUCACCUCUUAUUUUAUGUACUCAAACCGCCGCAGUCUCUUCAACAUGUCUGACAUCUGAGCUGCUUUGAGUGCCUCAACUUCAGCUGAAUUUUCAGCACUUUUAAUUUGAUUGAUACUUCAGCUGCACUCAGACCUUAUACUUAAACUGACAGUUUAACUUAAGUCACUGCGUUCACCCGCUGUACACCCAUGCAUUUAACCUAAUACAGUUUCGCCUGCUGGUAUUUUGAACUGUGACUUUAUAUUGCAUGCAGUACAGACUGUAUAUAUUCUCUAAGAAAAAGCUCUAAAGUCUUAGCUUAUGCCUUUUGAUAUGAAGGUGCCUCAAACUUUAGUAAGAGUAAUAUAUUUUACUUGCAGUCAAAUCUAAAUUGUGCAUACUGGAAAAAUGCAACGUGACACUGUCAUUUUCACAGGUGUCAGGAUCAGUUUAAGUUCAAAUAAUGUAAACUGUGAGCGCUUUAGAAGCCCAAUGCAUAGAUUAUACUGGCUUGAACUGUCUGUUCCCCC
rnacentral:lncRNA from 1 species